rnacentral:misc_RNA from 1 species
ACGAAAAAGUAAAGUUCGGGUUUAUCUAUACCGAUUCCGACUUCGGGGACACGCUCAGGACAUCUGACAAUGGUGGCGUAGCCAAAAUCUAGAUCCAUUCGGAGACCUUUUCGGUAGCCGAUCUGUCUGACUGGAAAUUCAUAAACCUGGACAAUUGUCGAAUUUCCGCGAAUUGAAGAUACCUACACGAAGCCCACAACACGGGGGUUAGUACAUAAAUUUUUCAGAAUUUUCUAAGCUCAUUUAAUGCUCGGAAAAACACUGCGAAGUUUCGUGGGACCCACCGAAAAACGGUGUCGAAAAAAUUCAAAAUUUAUGUCGCCGCGAAGCUCUCGACGAGUGGAGCGCUCUGGUACUCUCGGUUUUCUCGUGGGGUUCACGGUUUGCGAGAAAUCUAGCCCAAAAGUCAAAAUAGGCUAAAACUUCUCGGACAAAAAUUGAACAAACCGCUCGAUGGAUUUUGGUGUUCUUAGUGUCUAUGGAAAGCUCUCGAGGUGUAGAUGGUGUUUGACACAAGGCCCGGCCCAAUCAAUGGCCGGAUCGGCUGGAUUUCGACCAGGAAGACGAAAAGUCGCACGCACGCAAGAGUGGCGUUCGCGCGCGUUUUCAGCAGCUUGGAGCGUCGACCGGCUAUGGGGAGGUGGUGGGACGGCGCGCCGGAGAAGUGGGGUGGCUGGGGAGGCGGCGGCGCGGCCUGGGGGUGAGGGAGGAGAGAGAAAAGGGAGGGAGAGGAGAAGAGGAAACGCGCGCGGGAAGAAAAAGAAGAAGAAGGAGGUGGCCUGAUUCGGUCGGUUUGAUCCGGUCUGGUUCGAUUCAGCCGGUUCGAUUCAGGGUAUCCGAAAUUGAAUUUUUACUCUGCCUUGAGAUCGAAAACAAGGCCUAAAAAUUCUAAAAAAGUUUCAGAAAACUCAGAAAAAUUCGUAGAAUUUAAAUAUAUUUUUAGUUUGUCACGUGGUAUUUAAAUAAAUUUUUAAAAAUCAUCAAAGUUUUAUAUUUUCGGAAAAUCGAACCUGAUUUUUAAAAUCCGAAAAAUCUC